CCUACGGGAGGCAGCAGUGAGGAAUAUUGGUCAAUGGGCGGAAGCCUGAACCAGCCAAGUCGCGUGAGGGAAUAAGGCCCUACGGGUCGUAAACCUCUUUUGCCGGGGAGCAAGGGCGGGUACGUGUCCCUGCCCGGAGAGUACCCGGAGAAAAAGCAUCGGCUAACUCCGUGCCAGCAGCCGCGGUAAUACGGAGGAUGCGAGCGUUAUCCGGAAUUAUGGGGCGUAAGGAGGGAGCAGGCGGCAGCAAAGGUCUGUGGUGAAAGAGGGAAGCUUAACUUCAGUAAGACAUAGAAACCGGGAGGCUUGAGUGCAGGAGAGGAUGGUGGAAUUCCAGGUGUAGCGGUGAAAUGCGUAGAUAUAUGGAGGAACACCAGUGGCGAAGGCGACGAGCUGGACUGCAACUGACGCUGAGGCCAGAAAGCGUGGGGAGCAAAUAGGAUUAGAUACCCCGGUAGUC
rnacentral:rRNA from 1 species